UACGGAGGGUGCAAGCGUUGUUCGGAAUUAUUGGGCGUAAAGAGCUCGUAGGCGGUUUGUCGCGUCUGCUGUGAAAACCUAAGGCUCAACCUUGGGCUUGCAGUGGGUACGGGCAGACUAGAGUGCGGUAGGGGUGACUGGAAUUCCUGGUGUAGCGGUGGAAUGCGCAGAUAUCAGGAGGAACACCGAUGGCGAAGGCAGGUCACUGGGCCGCAACUGACGCUGAGGAGCGAAAGCAUGGGGAGCGAACAGG
rnacentral:rRNA from 1 species